CGAGCGGCCACGGCCCCCGCCCUUCUCGUUUUCUGGAAUCUUCCGCAUGCCGCGGCGCGCGGCCGGAUGGGAGGGGAGGAGAGAGGAAGGGGGGGCGGCGGCCACGCGCUCGGCAGCGGCGGCGCCACGAGGAAGGCGCGCGGCCGCCGCUCUUUCCACCAGCAGCCGGGAGAGGGCCACCGGCGUGAGCACCGCGGCCGGCGGAUCCUGCCGACCAGUCCCGACCCCGCGCCCCGCCCCUCGCUUCGCUCCAGGCCCCGUCACCUCACCUGGGUGGCCUUCCCCCACAGACUCGGAGGUGAAGAGGAACGUGCCCUCCUCGAUGAACGCGUCGUGGAAGCCGUUGAGCUGCCCAUUCAUGGUGGUGGCGAAACUUGACCAAGCUACGUGAUCCUUAUAAAACCUUAGACGACUUGGGAGCCAGUAAGAAGAUGAAGUCUAACAGAUGUGGUUUUGGAUUAGCUGCUGACCUAAUAGCUGAUUCAGCCAUUACAUCUAUGUGGUUGCCUCCAAAGCCCCCAGCCCUGCCUGACCUUUCUGGUGACUCUAGACCCACACAUCCACCUGCCUGAGGGAAAGUUCCACGUUGCUGUCAGACCAAUGCUGGCCCCAAAGUUCAACGCUCCAAACUGACCUCAUCGUUAUUCCAGGCUUGAAACCUAGGAUCUAUUUUCCACUCCUGCCUCUCUCUUGGCACAGUUAGUCCCCACAGCGGAGUCACCGGCUGCUGCUAAUGGCUUUCACACUCAUCACAUUGUAAACGGCUGUGAGACGGCAGUGGGUAGGUGACCUGUCACACAGACCAGGCAGAAUGGGUCCCCACCUGGAAUAGGCUGGCAUCGGUAUAGAAGUCCGUUACAAACAUCAAAAGUGGUGUGUGGUGCUUCCCUGGUGGCACAGUGGUUAAGAACCCGCCUGCCAAUGCAGGGGACACGGGUUCGAUCCCUGGUCUGGGAAGAUCCCAUGUGCCGCGGAGCAACUAAGCCCGUGCACCACAACUACUGAGCCUGCGCUCUAGAGCCCACGAGCCACAACUGCUGAAGCCCGCGCUCCUAGAACCCGCACUCCGCAACAAGAGAAGCCACCGCAAUGAGAAGCCCGCGCACCGCAACGAAGAGUAGCUCCCACUCGCCGCAACUAGAGAAAGCCCGCGCACAGCAACAAAGACCCAAUGCAACCAAAAAUAAAUAAUAAAUAAAUAAAAGUGGUGUGUGACGGGGCGGGGGACAAGGGGAUGAGGGCAGGGGAGAUGGGAGGAGGCAGAGAUGUGGUCAAGGUCUAUGUCAGAUCACCAGGGUAAGAGGGGUCAACCAGCAGGGCAAGCAUAAGAAUUGAAGUCAUGAGCCAAGAGCAGACCUGGGAGCUGAGUUGGCGGGGCUCAUAGGACAGAGCAUGGGAGCUCUCACUGGCUUAUAGGGAUGGAGUUUGCUUUGGGGGUCAGGGGUGGGUUCCCCUUGGAGAGGCCCAGGCCUGCAUUUUCUCAGCUGUGUUGUGGCCCUGGGCUCGUGGAACCAUGUACACCUAUCAAUUCCCUCCUUUCCAUCCUCCUGACCACACCCCAACUCAGAGGGAUUCCUUACUUGCCUGAAAUUUGGGAAUGAUCUGAUCUCUCUGCCUGGCAUCAGACCAUUAUGCAUUGCAGCCUCUGGAGAAGGAGCAACCAACAUCCACUGCACACCUGCUGAGGCCUUUUGUGGAUUUUAUCACAUUCAUCCUGGCGGCAAGACAUGAUGGUGACAUCUGACAUUUGUUCCGUACCUCUGGUUUUUGUUUUAUUUUCACAAACACUAACUGAUUUGACCCUGUGGUAACCCAGUGAAGUGGUCAGAGCCUUAUUUGGUGGAUGAGAAAACUGGAGCCAGAGGGAUUAAACUGACGACCCAAAGGCACCCAGAUCCUUGUUACUCAAAGUAUAGUCCAUCAGUAUCACCUGGGGGCUUGUUAGAAACAUAGGAUCUUGGGCCCACCCAGGCCACCAAACCAGAAUCAGCAUUUUAACAGGAACCACCCCCCCGCCGCCCGACCCACCAGGGAUUCGCUGGCCUGAGCGGUUGUUGGAGGAGAAACCAGCCUUACGUGGCUAAGUCAACGCCAAUCAACAAUGUUUGACACAAAUACCCGAAGGUUACAUGCAACUCUCUGGGUCAAGCUUGGCCACCGGCUGGGAGUGAAAUUGACCAAGUCGGGGAUUGGAUGGUGGGAGAAGAGGGGAAGAGGGAAGUCAAGCUGAGGGGCGUUUGUGGAGGUUCUGCUGGGUGCCCGUGGCUAUGGUUCCAGGCACACAUGGCGAGGAGGCCCUGGAGCUGAGUGCAGCUGGGGAGCGAGACACAGGAGCCCAUCAGAGAAGAUUGCAAUCCAGCAUACAGGGGUGAGCUAAGUGGUGUGGCCGGACAGUUAGUGCUGGAGAAAGUACUGGUCCAUCGGGAGUGGAGGGUCUUCCUGAGCAGAGGCAGAAGGAAGGCAGGAGGAGGCAAGUAGGCCUGGAGUGUGGUGGGCCCUUCAGACCAGGUGAGGGAGUGCAAGUCCGGUCUGGUGGGCAGUGUCUUUGGAGGGUCUUGGCCUGAGAGUGUCUUGCUCACUUCUGCACCUUUUGUUACUCUCGCCAGUCUCCCCUUCUCAGGGAAACUUCUGUGUUUACCAUCCCUCUUAGGAUCUUGCAGCCGGUAGAACUGCUCCCUGCCAAUUCUCAGCAUCCGAAUUUACAUCCACCAGGUCCCCUUCCCUCUUUCUGAGUCUCGAGAAAACCACCACUUUUUACCCACUCAGCCACUCACCUUGGGAGUGAUCCCUGACUCCUCCCUUUCUUAUGACUUCCACAUUCAGUUCGAUUGCCUCUGCUCUGAAUUAUCUCUGAUAAGAACUCUUUAUCCAAGAAGAUGUGGCACAUAUAUACAAUGGAAUAUUACUCAGCCAUAAAAAGAAACGAAAUUGAGUUAUUUGUAGUGAGGUGGAUGGACCUAGAGUCUGUCAUAUAGAGUGAAGUAAGUCAGAAAGAGAAAAACAAAUACCGUAUGCUAACACAUAUAUAUGGAAUCUAAAAAAAAAAAAGGUUCUCAUGAACCUAGGGGCAGGACAAGAAUAAAGAUGCAGAUGUAGAGAAUGGACUUGAGGACAUGGGGAGGGGGAAGGGUAAGAUGGGAUGAAGUAAGAGAGUGGCAUGGACCUAUAUACACUACCAAAUGUAAAAUAGAUAGCUAGUGGGAAGCAGCCGCAUAGC